UACGUAGGGGGCUAGCGUUGUCCGGAAUCAUUGGGCGUAAAGCGCGUGUAGGCGGUCCGGUAAGUCCGCUGUGAAAGUCGGGGGCUCAACCCUCGAAUGCCGGUGGAUACUGUCGGGCUAGAGUGCGGAAGAGGCGAGUGGAAUUCCUGGUGUAGCGGUGAAAUGCGCAGAUAUCAGGAGGAAUACCGGUGGCGAAAGCGACUCUCUGGACGGCAACUGACGCUGAGGCACGAAAGCGUGGGGAGCAAACAGG
rnacentral:rRNA from 1 species